CCAUCAUGCUAGUUGGUGGGGUAAAGGCCCACCAAGGCAUCGAUCAGUAGCUGGUCUGAGAGGACGACCAGCCACACUGGAACUGAGACACGGUCCAGACUCCUACGGGAGGCAGCAGUGGGGAAUUUUGGACAAUGGGCGCAAGCCUGAUCCAGCAAUGCCGCGUGAGUGAAGAAGGCCUUCGGGUUGUAAAGCUCUUUUGUCAGGGAAGAAACGGCCUGUUCUAAUAAAGUGGGCUAAUGACGGUACCUGAAGAAUAAGCACCGGCUAACUACGUGCCAGCAGCCGCGGUAAUACGUAGGGUGCAAGCGUUAAUCGGAAUUACUGGGCGUAAAGCGUGCGCAGGCGGUUUUGUAAGUUUGUCGUGAAAUCCCCGGGCUCAACCUGGGAAUGGCGAUGAAGACUGCAAGGCUAGAGUUUGGCAGAGGGGGGUAGAAUUCCACGUGUAGCAGUGAAAUGCGUAGAUAUGUGGAGGAACACCGAUGGCGAAGGCAGCCCCCUGGGUCAAAACUGACGCUCAUGCACGAAAGCGUGGGGAGCAAACAGGAUUAGAUACCCUGGUAGUCCACGCCCUAAACGAUGUCUACUAGUUGCCGGGGUCUUAAUUGACUUGGUAACGCAGCUAACGCGUGAAGUAGACCGCCUGGGG
rnacentral:rRNA from 1 species